CGAAUCUAAUUUUAUACCAACUACUACUACCACCUCCACUGCGACUACCACGCCUACUAGCCCACUGUCUUAAGCACUUAAGUGGUGGGAAACCAAGGCAGGAAAGGGAGGAGGAUCUUGCCCAGGGUAAGAGUUGGUGGAAGAACAGUGCCUGGAAAAUGACAUGCAGAUUAUCAGAGGCCGUGUCGCUGCUACUGAUCUUAGAUGCUGACGCAAAUACUUAAAAGACAGUGAAGAAGGACAUCGCCUAGCAUCUCUGCAUCAAGACCUGUAGAUCAAAGGAGGCAGAAAUCCCUCAUCAAGUCAGGGAUUUUUUUCCCAUUUGUUCCUCUUCUCGUACACUGCCUUAUGAGUUUUUAUAAAAAUAAAACAAUUGAAAACAUU